rnacentral:tRNA from 1 species
UGGGUUGUAGCUCAGUGGUAGAGCACUUGGCUCUGCAUGCAUGAGGUCCUGGGUUCAAUCCCCAGUACCCCAU